rnacentral:rRNA from 1 species
CAGCCGCCGCGGUAAUACGAAGGGGGCUAGCGUUGUUCGGAUUUACUGGGCGUAAAGCGCACGUAGGCGGACGCUUAAGUCAGGGGUGAAAUCCCGAGGCUCAACCUCGGAACUGCCCUUGAUACUGGGUGUCUUGAGUCCGGGAGAGGUGAGUGGAACUGCGAGUGUAGAGGUGAAAUUCGUAGAUAUUCGCAAGAACACCAGUGGCGAAGGCGGCUCACUGGCCCGGAACUGACGCUGAGGUGCGAAAGCGUGGGGAGCAAACAGGAUUAGAUACCCCCGUAGUCCCUGUCUCUUAUAC